AAUUUUGAAACUCGUCAAAUACUAAUUUUAAAAUUAUACUGUACUUUACACCAUUGAUCCAUGGAUACGUAUGCAGUUUAUCUAUAGUAUACAGGGCUCCUUGUAUUUUUUUUAAUAUUCGUUGACAGUUGACAGCAGUUACAAUGUCCAAUAAAAUAUUCGCGUAUGUGCAACCAAGGAAUACAGUCAUGGCUCGUAUUUUUGAAUUACAUGUUUUUGGUGUUAUUGGCUCUUCAAUGAUACUGGAAAGAUCUUUACUUCGAUUUAAGAAAAAUAAUCGCAAAGAUGAGAAAAUUAUUUUUAGCACACCGUCAUCGUUUAAAAAUUUUAUAAAAAAGCUCAUUGCCGCCAUCGCUCCAUAAAGCAUAAAGGGGAACUAGUUGUCAUUUUAACGGGACUAAAUCUGUAACAUUGUUAUUUUUAGAAAAAGUAAUGAAAAUUUGGAACGAGUUCUUUUGAUAAAGAUUAUUUCCGACACUGUACAUUAAAAUUGAUCAGUGUCAGUUACGUGUUGUUGUCAAAUUAAUAGUCAUUUAUCAUAUUAAUAAAAUAUAUAAUAAGUAUGCUCAGAUGUAAUAUUAUUAUGUACUUAAUGAUAUUUAGAUUCAACUAAAAACUUUACUAUAUUUUAUGUGCUUGAAUAUGUAUGGAAAAAUAAUUCAAAUAAAUUUUAUAAAAUUCUGUGUAUCUUUUUUAAUAAGAUCUUCUGUUUCAAAUUCCGAUUCUUCAUUUAUUAUUGUA